UGGGACGAAGCUACACCAGCCGCGUCAUCCAGGCCUUCAAGGCGGAAGGCAUUCUGGAAACCCGCCGCGGCGCCAUCCUGAUCCGCAACCCGGACGCCCUGGCGGCCCGGUCAUGUCUUUGCAACGACGCCGUCAAAGCUCAUUUCGACGAAGUUCUGCGCGGGGUCUAUCCGGACGAGACGAAGGCGACGUGACCGAUCGAUCGAGCCCCGUCAUCGCUCUGUAACAAUGCUGGAUAGGGCCGAUGCGGCCCUUUGGGGCAUCAACCUUGACCCCAAAAUGGCCCGAUAAAAUGCCGUUCGGGCCGUUGUUUU
rnacentral:misc_RNA from 1 species